UGCCUACCCUGCCUAUCUUGCAAGAGAACU
rnacentral:piRNA from 1 species